GGCUUCACAGCUCAGUUGGUCGAGCAUCGCGCCGGUAUCGCAGAGGUCAAGCGUUCGAAUUCCGUUGAAGCCC
rnacentral:tRNA from 1 species